GGUCUUCCAGGUCCGGCCGCCCCAGCCCGGCCCGUCUGGGCGGCGGCGAGCGGGGAGGGAGCGCGCGCAGCCGCAGCCCCGAGGCCGGCCGCCGCGGAGCAAACAUUUCCUUAUGUGGUGGCUCCGAGGGCUGGCCUACGCCCGGGGGGCCGCCGGGGUCGGGCGGGCACGCCCUGGGCGAUCGCAGCGACCCUCGUCCCGGCGGCCGGGCCGCUUCCCAGCCGGAUCUCGGCCGCAUGGUGUGGACAAAACAAAGAGGGCUUGGAAAGGCCCCCGGCUUGUUCUUUGUCCCCCGGAGCGAGGUCCACAGUCCUCCCAGGAGGAAGUGUCACGGCCCCUGGGCCGGACCCUCUCUCCCGGACUUCCCCUGCGUUUGUGGGGGAGCGUCCCUGGGAUCCGGGGCCUCUGGAGGAGGGAGGUUUGAGGCGGCGGGCUGCCUGGCCCCCUUGACCCCUAAGCCACCCUGGCCCCGCCCCGGCCGUCCGCCCCGCGCAGCAAGCUCGCGCCCUUGCCUUGGGAGCUAUAUUUGGCCAUCGAAGGAUAACAGGGCCAAGCUCUAGCCCUCCAAAAGCGCUUGACAUCAAAACACGGGGCGAAGGAGGCUGCCUUCCCACCGCACUGGACUGGUCUCCAGAGCCUGAUUAGGGCCCCUGGGGCUCCGACAUCCCCCAGGGAGCACAGUUUGAGGUUGCCUCUGAGAGAGAAUCCUGGUCCAGGAAGCCUUUGCAUGCAGCACCAGCCCCACCAGGCCGAGGGAGAAGAAACAUCCAAAGUCUGGCUCCUAUGCCUCCCCACCAGUUUCUCCAGGACUCCCAUCCCUCCUCCUGCAGCCCCAGCCUCCCUGGCUCCUGGUGCCUGUCCCUGACUCACUCAGACCUAAGCUGCCUUCCCUUACAUCUGCCUUUUUACCCAACACUGGGAAAAUCUCCAGCUUCGGAGUUCCCCUCAGCCCAGCCCCCUCACCCAGCUCUGGUUCAGGGCACACCUGCAGGAUUCAAGCUCCCGCCUAGAAACCACUCUUCAGUGGGACAAGAGAUUCCAGGGAUUGACGUAAAGAAUCCUUUCGGUAAAAUGACAAAUGGCCACCACCUGUUCCCCAUGCACUGAUACAGUACAGCAAUAAAUAGGCUGUCCAGUUCUAAGAUUCACUUUUCAUACUGGGAAGAGGUCCCAAAGGAAUCUGAAGACAGGAGAUGGGGAAAUGGACCUUCAAAACCAGUAGACACUCUAAUUCACCCCUUGAUAAAACGGCCCCCUCUUAGAAGGGAGCUCAGUAGUCAUCUCACUGCCUCCCCAAGGCAGAGGUCUCCUCCACUGCAUUACUCGAUUACUUCCAGUGGCAGCAAACGCACUACUUUGGUGUGUUCUGUCUUAUAUAGAAUUGAAAUUUGUCUUCUUUAGUGCC